UGCUGUAGCUAACUUGGAUAUUUAGUGUCAAGGAGGUGUAAGAGAAUUUCAAGUCCAUUGAGUGGCUCUCCAUUCCAGGCUCUGCUGAAAAGGUGUGCUGAUUUAUGCCUGGAUAUUAACUUCAAGUCCAUCGAUCAACAUGUCUACUUGUAUGCUAAU